rnacentral:rRNA from 1 species
CAACGGCAUGCUGCAUAUACCGGUUCCCGUUAGAUCACCGAAGUCAAAAUCAUUGGGGGCGGUCAGUACUUGUUGGUGACCACCUGGGACAUCGCG